UGAGGAAUUUUCCGCAAUGGACGAAAGUCUGACGGAGCAACACCGCGUGAAGGAUGAAGGCCUAUGGGUUGUAAACUUCUUUUCUCAAGGAGGAAGAUCUGACGUUACUUGAGGAAUAAGCAUCGGCUAACCCUGUGCCAGCAGCCGCGGUAAUACAGGGGAUGCGAGUGUUAUCCGGAAUUAUUGGGCGUAAAGCGUCUGCAGGUUGGAAAGUAAGUCUUUUGUUAAAACUCCAGGCUUAACCUGGAAUCUGCAAAAGAAACUUCUUUUCUAGAGUAGGUUAGAGGUAAAGGGAAUUUCCAGUGGAGCGGUGAAAUGCGUAGAGAUUGGAAAGAACACCAAAAGCGAAAGCACUUUACUGGGGCCGUACUGACACUCAGAGACGAAAGCUAGGGGAGCAAACAGG
rnacentral:rRNA from 1 species